UCCUGGUGAAGGUUAUUCCAGGAAAGGGUAUCCCACUGUCAAGAUAUUUAUAUACAUUCCUGGCUUUCAAAUGUUUAGGUUAGGGUGUUCCUGGUGAAGGUUAUUCCAGGAAAGGGUAUCCCACUGUCAAGAUAUUUAUAUACAUCCCUGGCUUUCAAAUGUUUAGGUUUGGGUGUUCCUGAUGAAGGUUAUUCCAGGAAAGGGUAUCCCACUGUCAAGAUAUUUAUAUAAAUUCCUGGCUUUCAAAUGUUUAGGUUUGGGUGUUCCUGAUGAAGGUUAUUCCAGGAAAGGGUAUCCCACUGUCAAGAUAUUUAUAUACAUCCCUGGCUUUCAAAUGUUUAGGUUAGGGUGUUCCUGAUGAAGGUUAUUCCAGGAAAGGGUAUCCCACUGUCAAGAUAUUUAUAUACAUCCCUGGCUUUCAAAUGUUUAGGUUUGGGUGUUCCUGAUGAAGGUUAUUCCAGGAAAGGGUAUCCAACUGUCAAGAUAUUUAUAUACAUCCCUGGCUUUCAAAUGUUUAGGUUUGGGUGUUCCUGAUGAAGGUUAUUCCAGGAAAGGGUAUACCACUGUCAAGAUAUUUAUGUACAU